UUUUUUUUUUUUUUUUUUUUUUUGCCAUUUAGAAAGUCCUUGAAGAAUCUUAUUUGACAAACUAAUAGGCCAGAGCAAAAGCAUUGCUAAAAAGGAAACGAAGACGAAGAGUUUGAAACAUCAAGAUUUUUUUUUUUUUUCUCUCUGAAACAUCCAAGAUUCAAGAGCUGAAAUUGUAGCUUGUAUUAGACAACGAUUUAGCAAUAGCUGGAUCUUUUGUUGGCAAGUACAUUGGAAAUAGUAGGGUAAAUCUUUUAGUAUACUUAACAGUGUGUACGCUAACGAAUCUAGAUACGCCUGCAUAUGUAAAAUUUAAAAUUCAACUCCAAAUAUUUGUUGUGUUUGGAUAGCAAAUUAUUUACAUAAAAUUAUUUGUUUAAAUCAUAAAUAUAUUUUUCAAUUACCUUUUUAUUUCAUAUAUAUCACAUCAAAAAGUGAUACAAUAUAUUUUUUAAAAAUUAUCCCAAAUGAUCUCUUAUCCAAACACACUAGACAAAGCAAGUUCCAUCGUGUAUGGACAGCUCCAUCAUGUUGCUUUGGCAAUCACCUCUCCUAUUUUUGCCUUUUUGGUAGAGCAGUUCCAGAAAGUUGGUUUUGUGCAGCAUAUCUGCUGUGGCGGGGGAGAAACAAAAAGUUCCACGAAAUCAGAAAACUUACAUUCAAAGCCUCGACAAACUGUCCUGCACUUCAGAGAAACAACAAUGGACUCAGUAAUUACAUGGGAUUCAAACUCAUUCAUUACAUGGUGACUCUGUACGCUGUUUAUUUAUGUAUUAGGCUGUGCAAGACUGAAAGUCGUAGUUCAAGUUGGCUAACACAUCUCCUUAUGCCCAAGUUUCUUUUUUACUAAGUUUUGCAGAGUAGUUUAACCGAUUGUAUGCCUAUUUAUAUAUGUGAAUCACUACAAGUUAUAUCAGAGAAGUAUGAGAUUUACUUCGGAAAACUGACCGAUUCAAGCUAGAUUAGAUUUCUAAUUUUGAUAAAAUGGAAUUCGGUAAUAUUGAAAUAUAUUCAAUUUUAAUAUUUGAUAAAAUGGGUCGAAAAUGGAUAUUAAAAAUACAUUAUCAAAUUACCAAUUACUGGCUUAAUUAGUAAAUACUAAUAAUUACUAAAUACUAAUUAGUAAAUAAUAACUAAUAAUUACUUAACUACUAACUGGUGACUAGGCACGUUAAUAAGCAGGGUUUGAGUUGAAUUUCUAAGAUUUAAAUUCAAACUCAUUAAAUUUAGUUAGACCCAAACCCUUAUGGGUCUGAAAAAGUAAACUCAGAUUUGGAUCUUCAUAGAUUGGAUAUCCGUGGAUACCUUUUUGAACAUACAGUGAAUAACCAAAGUGAAAAUAUUUUGAAAUAUAUAGAGUCAAAAAAUAACAUAAAUAUUAUCCAAUUUUUAUUUUUAAAUAAUAAAAUUAACAUUGAUGAUGUUCAAUACAAUAUUAUAUUAACUAAAACUAUUUAUUUUUAAAGUUUCAUCCGUCUCUAUUUUCAAUCUUUCAUUUGUUUACUUUUAUUGUUUCUCUUCUUCCUAAAAAUGUUUGUACUAAUUACAAUGACAUAGAAUAUUAGAUUAUUUUAUAAGUUUGUUGAUACACAUACAGAGAAUAUUACAUGGGUCUAGGUAGGGUCUAAUUUAGAUCUGAAUCAUAAAAAAUCAGACCCUACUCAGACCCAUGGCUCUCUUGCAGGAUCUGGGUCUGGGUUUAAUAAAUUAAAUCUAAACCCUAUCCAAGUGUUUUGGAUCUAGAUAAAAGUCAACCCAUUGACAUGCCUAUUAGUGACUACAUAUUACUACAAACUUAUUGAUUAGAGAAAGUGAUAUUUAGCCUCCCAAAUUAGCCUAUUGCACUGGUUGGAGGUAUAAUACUUAGUUCGUGGAUUGGAGUGCAACAGACUAAAAUGGAUGUGCAAAUAUCAAUUCCCUAAUUUAGUUAGCUAUUGACUAUUGAGUGCCAACUACUAACUAUUCGAUAUUUGAGUAUUAGUUUACUGCAUUGCGGAAUUGGUUGGAGUUUGGACAGUAGAAAUAGAUUAUUGGCAUUUCGGAUAUUUUAGGAAAAGCAAUGAACAUAUAUAAAGUUGAACGAGUAUAAUUUUGCCAUUUGAGUAAAAUGCACUCUGAUUGGAAGAUAAUUGCUCAGGCAAUAUUGCUUGUCUUUUCAAUUUACUUGUGGUUAUGCUCCUUUCUCCCUUUUCUUUUUCCCAAAAUUGCAGAAUCACUACAAGUAUCCACAGUUUGGUACUGACCAGAUUAAAAAUAGAUACAGUGGAAGCCAAAUUAACUCUUCGGGAACUGAAGGAACCUCUGUCAAACAUCCUAAGAGAUGAUAGGACCUAAUUGCAUAAACCUAGUUACCCGAAUUGCAAAGGCAGGGGAUAGGUACAAUUUCACAGCUACUCUUUUAGGAAGAACAGUUGAAAAAAGAGUAGUUCUUCCAAAAUGAAUAGUUCUGUAGUUUUUUCGUCUAUUGGUUUUACAUUUGGUUUAGUUUGUCAAUGGCAUGAAAAGGAGUGGCCUACUUUAUGGACGUGUAAAUCCAAGAGUACACAUAUAUCACAUUCAUAUUUACUAAAUUCAGAUUUCAGAUUUCAGUUUUGUCAAACGCAACCUUAAUCAAAACUAAGCUAAAUUGUUUUAUUAAUUUCAUCACUUAUCUUUAGUUACCUAUGAAUGUACUCCUGCUUGUCUUUACUCAUGGUUCCAACAAGACAAUCCAGGAAAGAAUCACAUGGGUCCAACAAGCAGUAGUUGAAAGCUCUGAUUUUACAAUCCAACCCUGUACUUGAAUGACUAAAACAAAAUGAAACCUGCAUUCCAUGUUAGCACCACAUUCUUUCUCUUCUGGUUAGACAUGAGGCCACAGACAAGAGCAAUUGAAUUAAGAGUAGAUACAGUUUCUCAUACUAUAUAUUGUAACUGCAAAAUUAGUUACAACUUUUCAAGGAACCAGACAAACUUUAGGUCUGGGAUUCCAUUUCCAUUAGACUAUGAAAUUAUCCAGGAGUUUUUAGUCUCCAACUAAGUACUGGUAAUCCGAGAAUCAUUUGACUAUUUCCAGCCUGUCUGUCAAAACCAAAACAACAGGGCUGCAAUACUGUCAUCUGCUAUUUGCAUGUAAUAUAUCACAAAGCUCUACUCUACAACCAUUCUGAUUGAAACUUCUACAGCUAUACACCACCAGAUCACCAAGGUUACACCUGUAGAGAAGAAUUGUAUCAUUAGUCAAUUUCAUUUCACACACCUUCACCGCAUGCGUCCAGAGCUGGAUUUUCUUUCUCUGAUGAAUGUGUGAUUAUACAGUCAAGACAUGUAAAACACCUUCAAUGAAAUAUGAAAACAUCAUGCUGAAAAUUAAAACUAUCAUAACUUAAACUACAGGCCAACUCAUAAACGGAAAGAGGAACAUUCAUGCCAUCUUACAUGAUAAUGGGCUCAGAGUGGGCCUUCACUUACUAUGAAUAUUCAUUAAAGUUUUCCAUUUUUUAUUAAGUUACAAACUAUUAAAAAGUACAGCAAUGAAAAAAAAGGUCAGUGGUUGGCUGUUUUAUUGCCAAUACUUAGUUAAGCAAAGAAAGAACCCCAACGGUAACAGACGUCUCAGCCCCUUGCUUUCUCCAGAACACAAGUACAGCAGACAUGUAAAAAGGAGGUUACUACUUAACUAAGCACUUGAACCUGAUGAUCUGAGGAAACAUACUAGGGAGACAUGUAUAAAUCAUAUUUGUAACUACAGAAAGACCAUUACCGUGAAAAUAUUCUAUUGUAAUAACAUGUUACAAAAGCACCAUUACUGUGAAAAUAUUUUAUUGUAAUAACAAAAUGACGGUGGAACUCAAAGAAAAAAGGAACAUACCUAUCAAACAUAAACCUUCAUUAUAAGCUUCUUUUAAUGAUGCCACCAGUUAAAGAGAACUUCAUAUCCAUCACCUCAGCAAAUCCAUGUACAUCCGUUCGAUGCAAAGCAAUCUUGCAUAAAAAUCACUAAAACUUCUUUGCCCUAACACUACUAUUUACAUUUUUUAGUCACCAACUUGCAAAAAUUUACUGCUAAACAGAGCCUUCAGUCUAUGCAACAAGAACAAUGGUGUUAUGCUUCAAUCCCCAGAUCCUACAGCAGCAACAGUCUCAACAUUCUCUUCAAGCUUGUCAGCAGUAGAAGCAUCAAGAUUACAUGGAGUGGUAGCCCCAUUCACAAACUCAAUUGUGGUUUGGAAACUUCCCCACCUUCAAUAAGAAGCAAGAAGUAAGCAUCUUAACAGCACGGAUAAUAAAAUGUGUCAAGAUUUGAUGAAUUACCCAUAGUAGACGUUGUUCCUUCCAUGCAAAUAGGCUUCUGCAACAUAUCUGUGCCAGGAAAUGCAACCAUACUCAUAUACUUCAUUUCCUGCCUCUUUGAUUCCUCAAGGGGGAUAAAACCAAAAGCCUUUGUCCAUGUUUCUCUAACUUCAGCUACAGCAGGAAUGACCAGCUUCUCCACAUUAAGAGAGGAGAGAGCCUGCAACAAAUUUAGGAGAUUUAGAUCCAAAAGGUACAAGAUAAAGGAGGCAAAAUAAUCCAAAAGAUAGGAUAUGAAUAGGCAAACAACAUUAUAUGCCCCUUAGAGUGGGGGAAAAAUUUAAAUCAUGGAACCAGCAGAUCAAUGAAACAGACAACUGCAUGCAGAAAAAUCAGGGCAACAGUAAAACCCAUAAUGCAUUGUAAAUCAAUAUCUGAUCUAAAAUAAAGAGCUUGCACAUCAACAGCACGCGUAGCUGAAAGGGAACUCCAGCUGCAUAGAGCUUUUGUUACCAAAGAACUUUUUUACCAACUCUAAUAAAAUAUUCUGAUAAAAUCAUUAAGUUGUUACCAGAUAUAACUUGAUUGAGAUACAUUUUGCUGAUAACAUUCAACAAAUUAAAAAUCACAACUUCCCCUGUAGAUGUCAAAGGUGGAUGCUCAGGUGAAGUCAUCAGUAUAUAAAACAUGACUUGUGAGAGCAGACUUCAGAAUAUCUGAUAGUGCAGUGUUUGGACAGUGUAGAAUACAUGAAUGGGAUGAGAAUGAAGAUUAACGCAGCAGAUUUUUGUUUUCUUUACUUUUCUUUUUUCUGGGUGAAGUCAACCAGCAAUUAGAAUAACAUGGAUGUAGCAGACACAAACAAAAAUAUGACAGGGAUCACUGGCUUGUUCUCCAUAGAGCUCAUCUCAGUAAGAAACUGAAACAUAAAGUCUAUCACCAACCCCAGUGGGACCUAAACAUAAAAACGAACUUUGAAGCACAAAGUGGAUACAAGACAAAGAGAAGUAACAAGAUAACAAACAUGUAAUCCCUUCUAAGGCUAUAAUGUUUUUCUUUAUAAAAUCUGCAGUAGAAUGCUCUCUUAGCUACUACUUAUAUGCAUGUAUGCUUGUAUGUUGACACUCUUCCAUCUUCCAACUUUUUACUGACAGGAUUGAGAUAGUGAGAAAUUCUCUAUAAAUUCCACAUUAAUCCUUCAUAGAAUCUGGUACUGAAAGCAAUAAUGCAGUGGAAACACCUUAUCUUGCGAAGUUCUGGAAAUCUAGAACUUGUUCUGUUGUGCAGUCAUAAUACUUACUCGAGAAACACAUGGGCAUUAAACACCACAAGAAUGAAGUACAUCUAGAAGCUUUGAUUUCCAUAGUGGGGCCUCUUAUAAGCAUUAAAGAAUUGACAAAAAUAUGAAGGUAUAGACAGGAAAUACCAGUUCAAUUGCAGUAAGAAGCCGACGGCACAUCCCUUGACGUCGAUAAGUAAAGCGAGUUCCUAUGAAAGGCAUCUCAGCUACCUGAUUCCCAUGCACUCUAUUGUUAAAAGAGAAAAAGAUUCGAGUGUUAGCUUUUAGAUUAUAAAGACGGGCAAAAAAUUAUGGCACACACAGAGAAGUUGGAUCCAAUAUUGCUUGAACUCUGGCAUUUCAGCAAAUCAGCAAACAGCCAAAUAAAUGGGCAAAAUAUUAACGACCAUAGAAAGAGAUCAUCACAUAUAAAGUGCAUCUUUAUCAUAUUUACUGAAGGAGUACAUGAAAGUAAUUCAACAUUUAUGGCUUACAGUUUGACAAAUCAUUAUUAUCUAUGCAAGAAACCAGCCCUGGAUCUACCUUAAAAGAAAAGCUAUUAAAAGUGACAAGAGUGGAGUUUGUAAUGGUAUUUUAAGACCACAAAAUCAAAAAGUAACAGUCACAGCACUAUUUGGUGCAAAAUCUUUGAAUACCUAAUAUAUGGAAAGGUCUCAGAUUGGAAGGUCUCACAGAGAUCAUUUAAGAUCUUAGUAAGGGUUACAACACAAAACAUUGGCAGUGGAAUCAAAACAUAUGCUUCCAGUUGACAGUCAUAUACUACUCAUUUCAUCCUUCGAGCGUUACUAACAAUCACAUUCUCUAUCUUGCUCAAUAGGGCCCUACUGGUUGGGUUCAUCGCUUUGCUCACAUAUAAAAUAGAGUCCAGUGAAUAACCACACAAUCUUACAUUGUAUGUGCAACUUGCCGUCAAAAUCCCAGAUACUUGCAAUGGCCAACUCAACCUGAGUAGACUAAAUCAUGACCAUAACUAGGCUAUUUAAUUGCUCGUUUCCUGAAGAUUUAUCUUCCAAGAAGACCAACAAGCCUCUGCUAUUUCCAAUACCAUAUCAUGCAAGCCACUCAAAAUAUGCAAGUUUGUUCGUGCUGCUGUUUAGCAAAAAAUGAAAGUCAACAGUUAUAACUUAAUUGUUUAUCCUAUUGUAAACAAUAACGGGUAAUAUCUGCAUAGAUGAUUGCAGUUUGGAUCAUUAAAUCAACCAGAUUAACCCAGCAUGUAAAUAAAAGUAUGAUCAUUCUCUUCAUGUUUCUUAUUGCCACAUAAAUAUAAACAAAAAUAAUACAAAGGGAAAAACAUUAAGGCAUGUGAUAGUUUCAGAAAUUCUGAUGGCUCAAAAAACAUUGCAAGGCAACAGAAGAACCAACUCACAACCUUACAGCUGCUGCAGAGACAAGUUCAUCUCCCCUCUCUAAAAUGAAAGUAUAGAACCACUGGAAGUUUAGCCUUCUCAAAUUUGAUCUGGGAAAGAAAAAUUGUCAAUAAAUAUUACAUUUUAUUCUAUGCUCAAGCUAAUGUGCAUAGUUGGUAGAUUAGCUACAUAUUCGAAAACAAGUAAUAAAAUUUAUUUGGAAGAUUAGCAAAGGAAACAAGAAGGUUCUCCAAAAAUUAACCACUUUACAGCCAAAAGAAUAAGUCAGCACCAAAGAAUAUCAAAGAAUGGAAAGAUGACAGGUCAUUCAAGCGUCAAGUGCAAACCCCGUAAAAUAAGAAAAGAAGUAAACUUCACCUAUCAAGAGUGGAAAAAAAGUUUGGUUGCAUGGACUUAUAAAAUGCAUUGCUAGUUUCAUCUAUUAAAAGUCUUUGUUGUAAGUGAUGCUAAUACAGAUGAUACAAAAAAAUAAGGCAGAAGUUUCAACAUCAAUAACAGGAACCUAGACCAGCUAGAUCUCCACCAAAAAUAUAUAGUAUAUUAAGAAUAAACAGCUCAAUAUAAGAAAACACAAACUUGACUGCAAUGUGAUUGCCAAAUUAUUAUUUCAUUGUUGCCUAUACACUUGAAAAUAAUAAGAAAACAGAAAAAGCCACUCCUAUAACCUUCCCAAGUAUUUUAAGACACUCCACAACAGUGCUAAAAAAAUCAAGCACACCAAAUAAGGAAAAUGAUAGGUACGUACCCGCAGCUGUAUAUCACACUCUGAAUCACAUUAAUGUUGCUUCUCUCGUCAAUGAUAGGUUCGAAACACUCGUCCAUGAGAGAAAGUGCGAUGGCCAACUUAGAAUUGCAUAGAACCUCCAAUGAAUCAGCAUUACCAACCACAUCGGUAACAACAUCUUGACGACGAAGAACGGUCCACGAGUAUCCUGCUUCCAACUCAUGUCUCACACCAAGAAGCUUCUGUAGAUUUUCAUAUAGCUGUUUAAUAAGAAAAAGAAUUCAGUACAAUUAAUAAAAGUGGGUAAAAGUUCAUAUUAACCAUAAGCCUAAUCUAACUAUAAAUAGGGCAGAGGUUGUGUUAAAGCGCAUUUAAUGCAUGAUAAACCUCUAGAUAAUAUAUCCAAAACCAAGUAUACAUCAUUUGGCAGGAUAGAAUAAGGAGAAAAAAAGCCAAAUGCUGACCAACAUAGAAAUAAAAAGUGGAAUGAAUACAUUCAACAAAACUAAGCAAAAUGGAUCUCUAUCUAUCACAAGAUGCAUUACGCUAAGCAUUCACAUAGACGCCAGAAAGGUAAGAGCAAGAUCUGAAAUAUUAGAACGAGUAUAGCGUGAAACACAAAUAAUGGAAUCUUUGAAUAAAGCUUAACCAACCAUAAAUCAUAUAUUUGUGGACGAAAUUCGGUUACCGUAAAACUCAUGUCCACAGAAAAUUCACACAUCUUCUUCAACAUAACAACUGCACAGAUAUGUUCAAGAAUUUUUAGCAUGUACACAUUCUGUCCAAAUUUGCUUACUAACUAGAGGCACAAUAAAUGCAUCAAUAUUAAAUCAAUAAGCUCAUACUUAAGCUCAUACUUUAUGAGUUUGCUAUAGUUAAGUCAUGAUGUUGUAUCUCAGGUAUCUCCCCCUCAAAAAAAAAAAAAAAUCCUUGCCUUGUGAAGUCCACUAUUUAGUGCAGUGGCAUUUAACAAAUUUAGGCAUCAACAUAUGGCCUUCAAUGUGCAUGAACUAAGAUGAGCACAUUUACUACAACUCCAGUCCUGUUGAAAUACAAGCCAAGUUGUCUGCAAAGAGGAACGUGUUUACAUUAUAUAAUCAGUAUCAUACCUUCUGGCAGCCCCUCCCACAAAAUGAAAAGUCUGCUGCAUGAUUGUCUACAGCAUCCUUCCCCGAUCUGCAAUGAGUGUGGACUGCAAAUUGAAAUGGGACAGGUUAAAAGUUAUCAAAAUGAAACAGAAAAUGAGAAAUUAAAGCAAAUGAAUGUCACAGAAAUUACAGGAGAAUGUAUAUAUUUACUUACAUAUUUCUUCACAGAAAUAGCAUCUGAACCUUUCAUAGUCAUCCAUAUAAUCAAUCAGAACAGGAUCAACUUUUUUCUUAUCAGGAUUCUCCUCCGUGUCAGUAGCAUCAUCUGUACCAGGAGCAUCAUCCAUAUAAGGAGUAUCGUCUGGACCAGGAGCAUUCUCAGUACCCGGAGCAUCGUCACUCAGGGAGGCUUUCUCAGAGAUCUUCUCACAGAACUCAGCAGAGAAUGCCAUCCCACAGAACUUACAGGAACAGUAAACGCACCGCCAAUAUCCAACUGGCUCGUGCUGCAAUGGAAAGUGAGGAAGAUACAUCAUCUGAACUAUUUAAAAAGGAGAGAAAACUAAAAGAAUAGGAGGCAAUAGACCAUAGUCACCAUACUUCCAUCUGCAAGCAUCUAUGAUGAAAUGUUGAUGAGCAACCAUCGCAGCAGGUCAAUUCACCACCAUCUGCACAUAUGUUACAGGUAUCGUCAUGGGGAUCAUCACCAGCAGCAACAUCAACAUUUACUUGAUGGAAUCCUAUAUUAUCAGUCUUUUCUUGUUUACUCCAUGAUUCUCUAAUGCACUGCAGAAGUGAAUGUCCAGACUCCAAAAAUAUGUUCUCAUAAGCCUGGCCCAGUGAGCUACCAGCAUGAGACUUAAAAUCUGCACAAGUCACUACUUUACCACAACAAUCACAGGAUAUACCCUCGCUAGUUAUCCUCCCUUCGAGCAGCGAAGCAGUUCUUUCAUGAUUCAUGCACUGCACCUUGACCCCUGGUGAUACAGUUCCCCAGUCAAUCAUCCACGAAAGUAGAGUGCGUUUCCCCUUGUACAUCUCAAAACCAUCAGCAUCAUGGUCAUUUUCAGGGCAACGAGCCAAAAGAGUACAAGGCUUUCUUUCUCCUUUCUUUCUUGAUUUUGACUUUCUCCUGCCUGAGAAUAUCACUUGGUUACCUUGCUCAGAAAUAUCCACCUUCUUCUUCCUAGAUGGUUUCUCUCCAAGAUAUGGGUUAGCAUUGGAGUUUCCUUUGCACAUGGAGAGAGCUGUGCUAUCAUGCCCCUUCCAGUCUUACUCCCACCCACUUUUGGUAGCUUUUUGCAUUUGCUCCCUUUCUCUUUCGUAAUUCUAUACAGUUUGCUAAGUUCAUCCUCUGGAAUCAGAGUAAAAGCAGAUAUGGCCUUGGCAUCUGCAGUCCCAUUUUCGACCAUUUCUUUAAGCUUUUUAUAUGCCAAGGUAACUGACCAGUAAGUUCUUCCUUGAUGGUCAACAUAAACUGCAUCACAGUACUCUUUGCUCAUUCUUGGUCGAUACUGAAUUGUCCAACCUGCCUCCUUGAGAAUGCUGAUGAUUCGAUUUCUCAGCAACUGUUUUUCUGUGUUGCGUCCCACUUCGCUUCAUUUUUGUGAUUGCUUUUCUGCUCCUGGAGCUUAGGCAUGUCAGACUUCACUUUUUCCUUGUGCUUUUUUACCUUGACAACUUUGGCUCUCCGUAAGUUGAAAUUUCUCUCGGAUCCUGCUUUUGUUUUCUGGCCGGCAGCCACCUUCAAGUUCCCACUUUUCCCGUGAACUUUAGGAGGUCUUCCACGACGGCCCUUCACAGUUUUCCUUCCCCUCCAAGCAGGUCGAACACUUUCGUCAGCUUCAACCUUUGUCUUUAUAAUGUCCAACUGGCCUUCAUGGUCUCCUGCAUUCCCUUCUCCCUGAGCCUGCUUCACACUACCAGUUGAAGCUAUUGUCCUAGACCUCAAAACCCUUCCAAGUAUUUGAGGUCUAGCUUCCACGGCCAACUUUUCAACCUUCUUUCCCCCAUCUUCACUAACCCCAUCACCACUAGGAUUUGUCUUCCUUUUCCUUCCUCUGCGGCCCUUGCUGGUUUCCUGCCUGCUUUCACCAGUACUAGGAUCAGCAACCACAUCUCCAACCAUAUCAGCAUCUCUACCAUCUUCCAAAACUUCAUGCGUACUCCCAUCCUCCCCAAUUUUUGCAAGUUUAGCACUCUCCACCUUCAGGGACUCCAGUUCCGCACCCCCAUCACCAGAUAGUCCACUCCCGCCACCUUUCUUUUUCUCCCUCGUCGUUUUUUACCUACCACUUCCCCGCUUAUGCUAGCACCACCACUCACACCAACAUUUACGACACCAAUAUCAGCAGCAUUUGUACGACAUGCCAAAGGUUCAGACUCACUCACCUGCUCAGUGACUAAACCUGCAUUGGUCGAAGGAAAAUGAAACUCAGCCUUCCCCACAGCAUCCUCAGAAUAUUCACCACCGUUGCUUUUCAAAUUGUUUUCUUCCUUCCCUUCGCCCCCCUCUCCUUGUCCAACAUCAUCAGCAUCAGCAUUGUCAGCAACCUUCAUAUUAACACUAGAAUCAACAUCUCUCCCGUCUUCUUGAGCUGAAAAAUAAUCAGUAGAAGAAGGCGAGGCAGAAGAGGGCAUUUUAUUUUCACUAGGUUCCUUAUUCAAAUCAAGCAUUUCCCUUUCCCCUUUCUGCCGAGCAUUUGAUCUCAAACCCUCCCUCAUCUCCUUUACCAAACCCUACAAAAACAAAAUCCCACAUAAAAUCCAAAAGGGUUUUCAAAAAGAAGUUAAAACCAAAAAAAGGAGAAAUCAAAACAAGACAGAAAGACGGAAACUGGAAACACUAAAUACUAACCUUUUCCAGCAAUUCCAAUUGAAAAACUUCAAGAUUUUCUAUCUCCUAACAGACCCUGAAAAAGAAUUAUAGAUUACACUAGAUUUCCAACCCAAAAAGGGACAAAAAUCGUAAAUGUACCAGGGAAGCAAUUAAAAUUUACUCAACAAAAAAAAAAAAAAACUUCAUACCAAAAAACUUACCAAUAAAGAAAAAUUUCCCGAAUAAUCAAUCAAGAUUGAAUCAAGGCCUUCUCCUCGAAAAGUCAAUCCUUCAAUGACCAGCUGCAUUAAAAAAAUUCGGGAAAAAUAAAAAAAUCUAAAGGGGUUUUAGAUUUUGGAAGGGGAAAAUAAAGGGUUUUUGGGAACUGCGGAAUUUGAGUUCAAAAGGACAAGAAAUGGAUGUCGGAGUAUAUAUGGGUCCGAGGUCGAUGAAGUGAAUUACUCUUUAGGACUGAUGGGUUUGUCGAAUAGCGCUUAGACGGGGCUACAUUUUGGGGAAGAUGGGGAGGAACACGGAGGGCUAAUUUUGUAAUUUAAAAGAGGUAUGUUAAGAACUUUACAUAAAUUUCCCUCCAUAAAAUUGAAUCAAAGAAUUUAAAGAAGGAAAUUAAAAUAAAAGUUUACGGACAGUGGUUUGACUUUUUUUUAUGGCAUCUCGUUUUAAGGGAUGGGGUUUUACUCUAACAAAAUUCCACAGUUUAAGAAAAUUUUGGACCAACUUAUCAAGAAGAGGGAAAUAAUAAAAUUUAGUCAACUUUGAUUUUUUUUUAAAUUGUAAGAGAAUAAAAGUAAAAAAAAAAAAGAAAUAGCUUUUGAAAUUUUCUUUUUUCUUUUUUUAGAAAAUUUUGGUUUCCAGAUUAAAGUCAAGCAUGAUUUUGGAAAGAAAACUCGUACUCAUGAAUCAGUAUUGAUUAAUUACUAAAAGAUCAUAGAAGCAAACUCAGUUUUCAACCAAAAAAAAAAAGAAAAAAAAGAGAGACAUGGUUAAGUUGCAUUUAAAUUAAAAAGGUUUUGGGGAAAAAUUAACUGAUUUAGCAAAUAAAUAAAAAAAAUAAUUCAAAAAUGAUUCAUCAGAAUUGAUUUAAAUUGAUCUCGAUCAAUCACCAGAUAAUGGUACGAUUGUUGAAACAAAUUAGUGCAAAUUGUAAACUGCAACAUAGUGAAGAGAGGGCAACAAAUGUGCAGAUCACUUAGCUAAGUGCAGUCUCGAUUAGAAAUCUGUUAACUUUGGCUGUCAGUAUAUGAUAACAAGUUGAAGAAAUAAUUUAAUCUAUAAUGAUUUACAUGAUAGAGCAAUUAUCACCCUUUCUGUUGUAUUGCCUUCUAUGACUUUCAGAUCUCUUACCACAGUACCGUCCUUCCUGUCAUUCUUUAUACCAUUUUUUCUUUUCCCUUCUCUUCAGCCAACUUUUAGUAGUUUAUUUUUUUUUCAACUUUUUUUUCGUCACUUUUUAUCUUCUCACUAUCCCUUUCCUUGCCUAUAUCUAGCCUCUAGCUAACUCUAGCUUCCUAUCCUUGCCACCCAAUAUUUCUCUAUUAUUAUUCAAAAUAUAACUUAACAUAUGUUUAUAUUACACUAUUAUAAAGUGAAUUUGGCUAGUAAAAUAUAAAAAUGAAAAAUUCAAUACAAAAGUAUAAAAACACCAAAUUUAGUUAUUUCAUAUUAAUUUUGAAUUGAAUGAUUCAAAUUUUCAAAGGAGAAAUAUUGUCUUGAAUCUAUAUUCAACCUCCAAAUUGAAGAGUUAAAAUUUGAAACAAGAAACGAUUUCCACAACGUGCAAUUUGGUUUUAGAAUUUUAAAAUAUAUACUUAUAUUUGUACUUUCAAAAUAAAUUUCAAAAGAUAAAUUUUGAAGCAAAAGAAAAUAAGAAAGCCAUAACCUGCAAUUUGAUUUAAUAUUUUUAUAAUAUAUUUAAAUUUGACUCUCAUAAUAUAAAAAUCAUAUAAAACUGAAGAUUGAUCACAAUAGUUGUACGUGUUUGCAUUUAAAAAUGCAAACGAAAAACUGAUAGUAUCUUAUAAAACCCUAAAUACUACAAAAAUAUAUAUAUAAAUAACACAGCAAUUGUAGAUUUACAUAUGAAGAAAACAAUAAGAAUACAUAAAAUAACCAAUAAUUAUCAGCACAUAAACUGGUAUGAAGCACAUAUUUAUGUCAACCAACUACAUUUAAAGCCAAUUAAUAGACUUUGCUGUUGCUAAUGUUUUGUUAUUUAGUACAACAUUACUUAAUUAGUCACUAGGAUAGUGGCUAUGCUCUCCCUGUUACUCCAAAUGUAAAAAUAUAUGAAAACUUGAAUUGCUUGUGAAAAAUCAUCUAUAGAGCAUAUAAUUCUCAUGCAGAAAUUUAAACAGAUAAGUUUGGAUCAUGUUGAAACUUAAAGAAUGCAGAUUUUGUAAUACCAACUAUGUGAGUUAAAAGCCUAUGAAAUUACUUCAAACCCUUUUUAUAUCUUACCACAUUACGCUGGUCUGUCCAAACCUAAGGCGCCUCUAAAUUUCUAUUAUUACCAUACAAAUUGGUAAGCAAUACAGAUUUGCAUUAACCAGAAUAAUCGAACGUACAUAACAAAUAUUAUGGUGUUAUGGAGUCAUACCUGCAUUUUGUUCCUCUAUUUUUUUUCUUUUUUUUUUGGUGAAAAAAGGAAAUAGCAUAAAUGGAUUUAUCUUUUUUUUUUUAGCAUUUAUAUACUUUUUCUAUUUAAUCUUGUCUGCCCUCCCCUGUAUUAUUUACUUUCUUUAAUUAAUCAAAUCAGAGGACCUUUAAUUAUUAUCUUGUUAAUUGCUAAUAUCUUGUCAUUUAGUACAAUGUUCCUUAAACAAACAUCAGAGGACCUGAUUCACAAGGGCAUUUGCUGUUUCUCGUCUUGUGUCUCCAAUUGUAAAAGGACUGAGAUUUCAUUUGAUCAAAUUGAAGAACAUAAACCUUGAAUUACUUUAAAAGCUUAUAUAAAAAACACGUAUUUCUCAUGCAAAAAUUUAACGAAAAAAUUUUGGUUUAUGGCGAAACUUAAAAGUAUAUAGAUUUUCUAAUAUCAAACUAUGGCAAGUCAACAUCGCAUGAAACUAUUAGAUGUACUAACGAGUGCACGUUCAGCACGUUCGGAAAGCUCAGUUAUUGUAAAACCUUUUUUUUUUUUUCUCAUUUUUUGGUUAGUCAUCUUAAAUAUUUGAAGCUAGAUUCUUAAUUACCUUUUUUUUUUUUUGGGAUAACCUGUACUGUAACAUGGUCUGUCUAAACUUAAGGAGCUUUUAAAUUUCUAUUAUUAUCACACAAGCCGGUAUGAAGAACAGGUUUGCACUAACAAGAAUAGUCUUAUAGCUAAUUAAUUAGCCAAUUAGUGGAGAAUCGAAUAUUAAGAUGUACUCGAGUAUGCUGUUAUUGGAGUCAUUUCAAUAUUUUUGUGAAGUUGACUGCUACUUAGUUGUUUACUCUUAUGCACUAAUAGGCCCCUUUAUAACUUUUAAGAGUGUAAUUAGGCUCGAGCCUGCGAUAUAGAUUUCUAAUUAUAUUUGGGGCAAAUUCAUUUAAGUUUGACUUGCAUAUUUGUAUUUUAUCAUCGGUUUUUUGCUUUUUUUUUUUUUGGGGGCAAAUGAGAAGAACAGCAUAAAACUAAGACUCUGUUUGGAUUGAGGAUUUUUUGAAAAAUAAAAUUUUCAAUUACAAUACCACGGUAAUACACAAACAAAAACAAUAUAAAAAACACUAUAAACAACUUCAAAAAUACAAAAAAUACAAAAAAAAAAAAGCAACCUCAAAAAUAUAAAAAACAACUUCAAAAAUACUAAAAACAUAAAAAAAAACCUUAAAAAAUAUCAAAAAUACAAAAAAAAAACCUCAUCUACCGUAAUAGUUUUUCAAUUACAUUGCUACAACAAAAUAUUUUAAAAAUACAUCUAAAAACAACUAAUCCAAGCCUAAGUUAAUAGUUUUCUAACUGUUUUUGGACAUAUUCAUUUAAGCUCGACCAAACUCAAGCAAUCAAACUUUUAAACAAACAAAAUAUGAAUGUCCAAGUUCAAAAUAAUACAUCUUUUUCGGUGAUUGUUUCUAACCAUUAUAAAUUUGCCCCAAAGACCAUAACAAGUCCAGCUAAUGAUUGCAAGAAGAAUUGGCAUCAUUACAAAAGUCUACGUUCAGCCUUCACACUGCAAUAAUGAGUAGGGUCCAUGAUCAAUAAAUGGCAUUUGGGAGAAUUUUGUUGCCAUAGUUUUCAACAAGAACUUUCCUAUUUUGUGUUCUAUAAUUAGUACGCAAUAGUUUUCAACGAGAAUUUUUCCUAUUUUGUGUUCUAUAAUUACGUACACGGUGCCUUGUUUGGAUUGUAAUUUUUCGUAGAAAUUUUUGACGUUUUUUAUGAACAUAUUUUUUAAUUAUUUUUUUACCUCACAUAUAUCUAAUCGUUAUAAUAUAUUUUUCUACAAAAAUUUUUAAAAAUAGCAAUUCAAACUCCUAAAAAUAGCUAUAUUUUCAGGCAAAAACUAAUGAAAUCAUCAUAAUCUUACACUUGAAUAAUGUGUCACUUGGUCGAAUAAUGAGUUAUUAAGUAAAGAAGGUGUCAUUAUAUCCUUUGAUGUCUAUAUAUUUAUUUCAUGUUCCCAAUGAAUUUGGUGGUGAAGCAAAUUAUCUGCCGUUUCAAUUUUGAAAAAAAACAUGUAGAAGUAAAAGCACAACAUAUGUUACUCUGUUAAGUGUAAACAAUUGAUGAAAAAGUUACAUGAUAUUGGAGCGUUUUUACUAGGCAAGCGCGAAAAAGUACAAACAUCACAUGAAUUAAUGGAAAUGGGGCUGCAUAUGUUCAAAACUGGAAAUUAAAACCUGUAUGGACAAAAUAAUAACACAAGAUAGGCUUAAAUACAUAUAAUUGUAAGGUAAAUCUACUAUUAUUGGUAAGGCAAAGUUGGGGAAGAAGGGCAAUGAAAUUCCUAAAGAUUAAAGUAGUAACAACCCUUGCUUGCCCUGGCUUUUCUACUUAGCAAUAAGCAAAAGAGUUGGCCCGAGGGCCCUUUAGCUAAGGAAGUUUUAUGUAUGUAUAUACCAUUCAUACAUUUAUGUACUGAAUAUGUUGUACUUUCACCAAAGAUUGUACCAAUCUUCAAUUAACAAUAACUUUUGGUAUCCUUGGAAAAGUUUUAAUUUCUCACUGUAUGAAAAACAAAGUAGGGUUAAUGCAUAUCAGGAAGCAAUUAAUAUUUGCUAGUUCUAAAAACUUCAUUAUUAAAACUAGGAGUGUGUAAGAUCGAAAAAUUCCAAUUUACCACUGAAUUCCAAUUGAAUUCAAAAUUCGGAGCUGAAGUUGGAUUUUUCGAUUUCGAAUUAUGCAAAUUUGGUUCGAAUUCGGUAAUGGGAUUUUUCAAAUCGGAAUUUCCAAUUUAGAAUUCACAAUUCGAAAUCGAAAUUCAGAAUUCCUAUUUUGAUUUCAAAUUCCUUUUUCAUAUAUAUAUAUAUAUAUAUAAUUUUUAUAUAUAAAUGUAAUAUAACAUUUAUAUAAUAAUAAAUAAUUUUUAUAUUCCUGAAUUCGGUGAAAUAGGAAUUUACAGAAUUCGAAUUCAGAAUUAGUAAAUUCGAAAUUGAAUUUGGUUGAAAAUUUUGAUACCAAAAUUUCAAAAAAUCCUGAUUUCAAAGUUUCGAAUUAUCAAUUUCAUUUCCCAUUCGCAUCCCUAGCUAAAAACUACAAUAAUUGUACUGAUAACAGUACUAAUCCACUAGUAGAGUAUAGGCGAAUCUAGAAGACUGGACAAAUUUCCGUGGGGCAAUCUUGAAGUUCCAUAGGCCUCUUUUGAGAAAGUAGAAAUGGAAAAAGACAUUUUUUUCGGCGGUCUUGUUAUGGGUGCCGGUGGGGUAAGCUGAUGUCGGCCUCUCUGUCUAAGUGUCUAUUCAGGAAAAGCCAUUUAAAUUUCAGGAAAAGUCGAAUUGGAGGGUGAACUGGCCUUUUUCAACCUAAGAGCCUAUUUGAAUUGCUUUUUUUUUUUACGAAAAAUGUAAAAAUUUUCUCCAAAAAAUUGACAAUCACAAGGCAUAAAUAUUUCAAUUUUGUGUCAUACUGGAAGUUCAUCUCCUCUGGACGACAACUAGGCAAAAAGCAAGUUCGCAGUCUUAUCCUUUUUCGAUUUGUAUUUUGCUUCCCGUACCAGACAAUAUGCUUCAUUUGGUUUCUAUAUAUAGUUGUUUUUGUUGUCUUUUAUAAUACUAUUACUUAUUCUUUGAUUUGUUUUGUUGGAUAAUUAUGCAAUUGUAUUUUUCAUUUUAUAUUUUUAUUGAAAAUGUGUAGGUUAUCUUUAGACAGAUUAAUACCCAUCAUCUGUUCGUAUAUAUUAUGCAAAUUCUUGAGUGAAAUGCAAAUUCUUUUUUGUUUCCUUCGGAAGCUUUACAGAAUUAUUAUGAAGCUACGCGACUAGAAAUUGAUCCCCAUGAUCAAAAUUAUAUACAAAGUGGAGAAAGAAUGAGAGAGUUUCAAAUUUGUUCUUGAUCUUUCAAAGUUUUCACUUCUUGUAUACAUUCUUUUUCUUUUGCAACCUAUAAUUCAACAGUAAUGACAAUUCUAAAAAAGGGAUAAUUUCAGAAAUCUCCCGUGAGGUUUGUCAUAAUAUUACUCAAUUCCUCUCAAGUUUUUAAAAUCUCACUUAUCUCCCUUGUUAACUUGACAAGACUAAAUAUUCCUAUCAAAGGUCAUAAAUUCACAACAUUACCCUUGCUCUUAAUAAUUAUUUAACCAAAAAGUCAAAACAAAAUAAAUUUUAAAAGCAAAAAAUGUAAAUUAAAAAAAAAUUGCUAGCUAAUAAUGGUCCAUAUUUCUUUACAUUGGGGUCAUGGUGAGAUAGCAAAGGCUAUGGAUAAAUUAAAUCUAAUCAAUAUCAAUCACUUAGGAAGAUUUUAGAGAGUAAUUAACCCUUUAAAAAAUUUCAUGUAUAGUUAAAAUUAAGGAAGUCAAAAUAUUUUUUGGAGAAAUAUGUUUUAAUUCAUGGUGUAGUUUAAGUUGUAUUGAAAACUAAAAUAAUCUCUUCAUAUGUGUGAAUUUUUCAAGGUGUAAAUUUUGCUUUUAUUCCAAUACAACUAAAAAAAAUAUUUUACGUCAAGAAAUUUACACUUUAUAAAAAUGAAUUAAUCUUUCCUAUACUAACAGUGUAUAUACUGUCAAUAAAGGAUGAAUGACAGUUAUCUAAAAUUUGAAUUUGAACUCCAACUUUUGCAUAUGUGUUAUGUAUCCAACGGCGAAAGUAUGUACACUGUCAAUGUCUAUGAGAUUUAUUCUCUAAAAAUUUAACUUUAUCUUAUUUUUUAUUGUCAUUAUUAAUUCCAUAAGUAGGAUAACAUAAGGGUAGUAUUGGAACAAAAGUUUUAUCUUUCUUGUAUUUCCUCCAAAGGGGUUAAUAUGUUACAAGAAAUGUCAUUUCAAGGAGGUAAGUAAGAUUUUAAAAAUCUCAUGAGAACUGAGUGACAUUAUGAAAAACCUCGGAGGAGGUUUCCGAAAUUAUCUCUCUAAAAAACCCAUGUAUAAAUUUCUCUUUGCAGUAAAGCUUAAGAAGCGCACGGAUUAACAACAAAAUUUUCCUCCAUGAAAUAUAGAGCUUUGUCUCACUUUACGCGACGUCCCUUUCGGUGUCCACCUCUAAACUUUUCAAGUUUCAAUCAAACUAAUGUUAGUCCAAAAUUAAAUACACGUGCAGAUGUUGGAGAAAAGAGACAUAUAAGAAAUUAUAAAUCCCGUUCAAUUUAUGGAUUAAAUUAUGGAUUACAACAUAUAUGCACGUUAGAUUAGGUCAUUUCAUCUUAAUGAAAUGAAUAAAUUAUGGAUUAAAACAUACAUGCACAUUAGAUUAGGUCAUUUCAAUUUAAUGAAAUGAAUAAAUUAUGGAUUAAAACAUAAAUGCACAUUAGAUUAGGUCCCAUCUGAGAGAAAUUUUAUUUGGAAAUCAUAAAUUUUUUAUAUCAUAUUUAUCCUUCUAUGUUUCUAUGUGUGUCAUCCAUAUCUCUCUGUCUAAAUUCUUUCAUUAAUUACAUUUCUUUAUAUCCUUUCAGUGCAACAUGUGCAUCUAACGUGAAAACCCUAAGGCAUCUCUGAUUGUUAAAUAAUUAAUAUCAAGCAAUCUAUUGCUGCAGGAAGAGUUGAGCAAUUAGCGUUUAAUUUUUGGGGAAAAUUAAUAGAAUUCGUCCUAAUUUGUUUAGAAGACUAUAACGUACUGAAUUUAUUGACUUAAAACCAAAUCUGUCCAAAAGGUAGUUUAUGUAUGAUAUUAGUCCUAAACUUCAGUUUUUUUUUUAGAAUAAUACCUAAAAUAAUCUGUUUCCACCUUUAUAUUUUCUUCUUUUAUUUCCCCUUCUCUUACUUCUUUCAUUUAUUUUCACAUCUAAAACCUGAGCCCAUGAUUCCAUCUACCAUAUAGCUUUAAUUGGAUCAUUGUUUCCACAGAAGAACUCGCCGUAAACUUUUAUCCUUUGUCAUGGGGGGUAAAAAGCUGAUAAAAGAAAUUUGUGGGGGCAACCGGGAGAAAAAGUGCAAUUACAACUCCAAAGAUGUAUGUCAGAUUGUAAUUAACAAUAACAAGCCUCUUGGAAUCAUCUAUGAAUGUCCCUAUUUACAACAUCGUCAUGAAUUGGGGCCAAAAUGGUAAACUAAGAAGACUUUGGUAUUUAUUUAUCUGAGCGAAUUGCACGAAAUAUCACUAAACUAUUACAAUGUGCCGCUUUUGUACUAAACUUUUUCAUUAGCAAAAAAUGUUAUCGAACUAGUAAAUAUAUAUCGUUUAGACCACUCCGUGUACUUAUGCCGUCAUAAGAGAUGAAAAGUUACAUUUUCAUGGACAAUUUCGUCUGCUUGUUUGCAAAUUCAAUAUAUGCCAACUAAAUCAAAAUGCAUGUUCAAGUUCCACACAUUUGCCAAUGAACCAUCCACAAGCACCACUGAAUGGAUGAAUGAUAAACAUGCAAAAAAAAAAAAACAUAAAGAAGGAAUCACUUGCAGCUCAACAUUAAUGAACCAGGUAUCUACUUGCUUUAAUAGUUCUUCCUAUACUUUCUUCUUUUUCAAUGCUAGUAAGGCCUAUCCUUCUUCUUUUCGCAGAGCAAGCCCUUGUAGCUUGCUUCUCAGCCUCAAUCACAUUCUUCGGCUGAAAACCAAUGAUGAUGGAAUAUCACAAUUAUUAUGUGCAUUUUCAAUCACACACUAAAUUUGCAUUGUUUGAUCCUAAAAUAGUCAAGUUCUUUAACAAACCAUCAUCUGUAUACUCUAAAUAAUAGAACAUUCAAAAGCUUAAAAAUAUUGAAUCUUUACAAUACUAAAAGCAAUCCCACAAGAAAAAGCAAGCUUUUAGGCCUUUGGGUCCUGAGGGAGAGGAUUGUCUGAUCCACCUCUAUUAUUUUUGGUUUCUUCACAAAUACAUAUCCCAUUAUUCAAUCCCUCUAUCGUAAGACCCCCCAAGAAAAAGAAAAAAAAAUGAUGAUUGAAAAGCUAUUAUUUCAAUCCAAUGAACAGUUAUACCAAUUAAAAAUUCCAAACUUUGUGCUUAAUAGAAAUUCUUGUACAACCAAACGGAAUAGAAAAUCUAAUUAUGAUGAAAACCCAAAAAAUUUCUCAAAUUUUGGAAGACCUCAGGAGGAAAACAAAAGAAAGAAAGAGAGAAAGAAAAGGCAAAAGCCCAGAUGCAGUUUAACAAAGGGGGUUAGAUGCUGACUCCUGGGCUCUGGUGCUCAGCCUGGACAUUUAAGGGAUCAAUGAGCUCAUCCCUUUCCCUUUUCACCCACUUCGUUGCCAUCGAUCACUUGUGUUUUACUGCUAAUUUUCAUUUUCGGCCGAUGCUUUGUUCUCCUCACUGAUUACUUUGUUUUUGCUGGAUUAAUGCUGCAACUUUUCUCAUCGGUUGUUUACUUUGUUAAAAAUUUUGCCAACAUUCUAAACCCAACUCACCCCACUCUUGUCCCUUCAUUGCCACAAAAAGUUGUGCAAACGAAAUUACCCCUCAAAAAGUUACUUUCCAUCUCUUCUAAUGAUAUAAAGAGACGGAGUGGCCUAAACGGUAUAGAUUUACUAAUUCGGUGACAUUUGUGACUAAUAAAAAAAGUUUAGUAACCAAAAAUGACACAUUGCAAUAGUUUAGUGAUAUUUCGUAUAAUUUACUCUAUUUACGUCAAACCAAAGCUACACAUCUAUUUUAUUACUUUCUUCCCUAUCUUUUCCUAGAAGACUUGCUCCUUGUUCUGUCACACCGUAAUCUUAUUAGUUUUUUUUCUUACCCUCUCACCCCUCCCCAACGUCCCCUUUCACCUCCAACUGCUAGGUUCAAAAUUUAAACUUUGAAUGUACUAGCCUCUAAGAGUCAUCACUUGAUCAUUGGGUUAACUCCUAUGGUUCUACCAUUCUCUUAUUUAGUCAAUUAACUAGUGCAAAAGAAACUUUUGAUUGACAAAGAAAUUCAACGAUCUAGUUAGAUUGAUACUAAUAUUCGUGUCGAAUAUGUUAUGCAAAUAAAAUUUGAGAAGUCUAAAACUAAAUGACUAAUUUUUUGUCGGUCAUUAAUUGUGUGUAUGUUGUCACUUAUGAUCCAUUAAAUUUACUUUUUUUUUUCCUUGUGUAAGUAUUGUUGCACAAUAAAGCGUUCACAUGAUUCUUUGUUUGCAAAUUUGCAAAUCCUAAUUACUACAAAACACCACAUAUACAUAGUGCACAUACAAAUAAUUUCAUAAUAUAUGGCUUUAAUACUUAAAUCUGAAAUCCCGUACUUUUGGGGACGACUCUAGUACCACUAAGGCAAAGCUCAUUAGGGCUCAUUGCCCAUACUAGCUACAACCACACUUCUUGUGCGAGACCAGUGUUUAUGCCUCAUUACUCACCAUCUCAUGAGAUGUUGGUGCGUUUUGCAUAAGUUAGAAACUAUUCAACAAAUAAAUUAUAUUAAUUCUCCACGAAAAAUGAGUACAAGUUUAAAAACUGACAAAAUAUUUAUUAGAAAAAAUGAAUGCCCUACAAUAUUUCGCCACAAUUACUACACACAAUAUAUAUUUGUAUGUAUGUGUAUAUAAAUAUAUAUAUGUAUACGUAAGUAUGUAUAUGUAUAUAUGUAUGGAAUACAAAAAUAAAAGAAACAAAGAAAUAAUUUAAAAUAGCCCAGAAUCAAUAAUGCAUUACAUAGACGUUAUAUUCAACAACAGCAUCACCGGACUUGGAUCAAAGGUGUAAGUUGUUGCCAGAGCAUAACCUCUAGCAUAUCGGAAAAGCCCACUUCCACCUAUCACCGGCAUCUCCCUGACCAUGUUGGAAGCGGGAUUCCUCCCUACCACGGUGAUGGUGCUUCCAUAAUACUUACCCUGAAUGAAAGCAAAGUUCAUGGUCAUCAACAGACCAAUCUCUUCUUGUGAAGCUGACGCAUAAAAUCCCUGAGCUCUUCCGACCAUCUUUGAGCUGAGUUCUGGGCCUAGAGUUAACGGAUUAUCGAUCAUAUUCACCAGGCCAAAAGCAGUGAAUGAAUUGUUUUUGGGUGGCGGCACCACCGUGAUUGAAGUAGGUGUUUUGCCACUGAGGAUGUCGUGCCAGAAGAACCUGAAAUGGCUUAGCUUUUCUUCCUUCAUAUUUAUUGCUGUGGGAUCAACUGCCUUGAUGAACUCGUAUUCUUCAUCACCGUAAGUGACCUGAAUGGUGAUGAUGGAAAUGAAGAUGAAGAUGAAGAUGGUGAGGACAUGGAAUGCUGAAUUUGUAGCCAUGGAAUGGAAGGUCAAUUUCUUCUUGGAAAUGUGUCGACGGUGCAUCACUAUAUAUAUAUAGAUUGUGAGGCAAAUGAUUUGCACAAUGAACACAUAUUUGUAAGCUUGAAGAAGGGGUUUCACAAGUUUGGUUCUGUCCUUUCAAACCAAUUCGUGUAAUUCUUAUUAUAUUUAAUAUAAAUUCGUACAAUUUUAAUAUAAUUGUCAAUUUAGUUGUAUUAGUUGACAAAUUUAAAUUUAUACUUAAAUUGUACGUGUUUAUAUUUAAGCUGUAAAAAUUAUAUGAGCCUAUUUGAAUUGGAUACAACUCAUGAGGCCAUCAAAUGAAACAAUUGAAUAGGUGCGCACUGUUUUGGGAGCAUUCGUUCCUACCUAAGCUGAGAAAUCAUAUCAUUUUCCCAUUGACAAGGAGCCACAUUUGUUGCUGAAGUUGAGGACUGAUAUUGCUUAUCCCGUUGGGAAUUGUUUGGAAUUUUAGAAUUACCUUAAACUUUAUUUCACUAAUCUCAUUUUUCCCAGUUUUCAUUAGAAUAUUAAUUUGACUUAAAAUCUUGAGAAAUGAUUGCAUGUGAUAAACAGAAACCAGAAAAAAAACACACACACACACACAAAUUCGCAUAUUAAGUAUGCUGAUCGGGUUUUAGUUACUAUUUGUCAUUGAAAUAAUUUCUGUGAACAUUGAAAAGAUUGAUUCCAAACCCCUGAUCAAGUUUGACAAAUUUACACUUCAAAACAAGAAAACUUUUCUUUAUAAGCUCUUAUUAUGUUAAAGAAUUUUCGCACCAAGAACGCUGGAGAAACACUUGGUUGUUGUAGACCCGAGACUACUAGGUGAACAAAGACCAAUUCCUGCAUGGUGCAUUUCCCACCUACCUUUUUGUUGACAGGUUUUUCCAUAGCAUGCAGUUCCCUACUCAAUUUUUCAAUUUGAUUUCUUAAAGCAAAGAGAAAGUACUAAAUAUUUUUCAAGGGGCCAUAUUAAUCUAAUUGAAACAAUGAGGGGAUGCAUAGUGAAGGAGCUGUAUUUUUCAAGGGGUUGUAGGGUAAUCAACUAAUGUUUUGUUCUCAUCUAUAUGUUUUAAACAUCAAUUUUUAUUGUGUGAAAGAAAAAACAACCUAUGCCAUGCACGAUUUCUCAUGCCAGUAUAAAUUAAAAUGGCGUUUAUGCACUAAGAUCCUAGUGCUAAACAUAAUUUCCAGGCCACUGAGGAUUUGUAUUAUUAUUAAUCUCUUCGUCUCUUGGCAAAAAAAAAAUUGCCCACUUUGCUUUAUGAAUAUAUCAAGUAUUUUAAGGAGCAAGUAAAAUUUUACAGCUCCUGAAUUUUAGAUAGUUCAAAGUUUUGCCUUUACAUACUUUAUGCAGCAAAAUGUAUUGAAACUAAAGGACCAUUAACGUCGUAUUUGUUAUAAAGUUCCUUUCUUUGAUUUUUUUUAAAUUAAUGUUCAAUUUUUGUUGUUUGGUACCUUUUUAAGAAAAUUGCAAUGAUGACAAUCAUGAAUUUUACUAAUUUAAUUGUUAAUUUGAAUUUUUUUAAAUUUUUUGUUACAUUUGAAAGUGUCAAGAUAGUUUGAACAAUGGCACUUGUAGUGAUAUGAGAACUCAAACUUGUUACACUUGUAAGUGCCUUUAAAAAUUCAUAGAGUGGCAUCUUUUCAUGCCAUGGGUUUUUGGUCCAAUGACAUGUUCGAAAAAGCAUUGAAACAACUACUUUAUGAAUAUGCAUAAGUGCCACGAGACUACAAUAGUGACAUCGGUGGGUAAAUGACACCUAGGAUAGAAUGUCAUUAUUAAACCAAAAAAUGCCGCUAAAAUACAAAUAAAGCGAUAUAAAUGACUUGUAAUGCUUGUGUUCAAGAUUACAUUAAGGGUCUGUUUGGUUGAAAGUAAAAUGUUUUUCUUGGGAAAAUAUUUUCCGUGGAAGUAAUUUUCCAGGAAAAUUAUUUCCCUUUCAUCAUUUUCAGGUGUUUGGUUAGCUUAUUGAAAAUAUUUUCUUACUUUAUUUUUCUGGUGUUUGUUUAACUUUUGAAAUAUUUUCACUUUUAUCUCUAUCUUUACUUUCUACACAUUAUAACUACAUACUUCUUUUCAUGCAAAAUAAGAAAAUUUAUCUAAUUGUUUAACUUUAAAAAAUCUUGGAGAAAUGUACAUAUGAAUAAAAAAUAUCUCCUUAAGCAAUAAACAAAUUACUGGCCAUUUAGUGUCAAAUAUCAAUCACAUGCAAUGCUUAUUGUGACAUAUAUCUUGCACUCUCACUGUUGAAAGUUUCUCUAGAAAAGAAUGUCCCUAUUAUACAUAAUUAAUUACUAGCAUAGGAUGAGCAGGAUGAGAUUUUUUUUUAUUUUGAAUAUACUAGGGGGAGGGUUGGGUGGUACGGGGGAGGGAGGGUUGGGAAGAGGUAUUGGAUUCGAGUCCUCCUGUUUACACUAAAAAAAAAAAGAACAUAUUACAAGAUAUUUUCAGUAAGUUUGGAACAUACUACAGGCGAGAUGCAUGCAUUUCGGAAAACAACUUCAGUAUAUUUGGAAGGGAAGUUGUUUUCCAUUAGAUGAGUGAAAAUAUUUUACAUAGGAAAAUAUUUUCAGUAAGUUUUGUGCAACCAAACACGGGAAAUUAGGAAAAUAUUUUCCUGGAAAAUAUUUUCACCCGAAACAAACGGACCCUAAAUCCAAUUAAUUUUUUUUUGGGAAAUCAAACUUGGAUGCUUGCCUUGUUUGGAUUGUGGUUUUUUGCAGAAAAUUUUUUACUUUUUUAAACAUAUUUUUCAAUCAUUUUUUUAUCUCGCAUAUAUUAAAUCGUUACAAUAUAUUUUUCUAUAAAAACUUUUAAAAAUAGCAAUCCAAACAAAAGGCCCCGAGCCUGAACCAUAUGUGAGAGAGAGAAAAACUUUGAGCCUAUGAGCUGUACCUUAGUUUAAGGCAUCAUUGACAAUGACUAAAUCUUAAAGUUACUUCAAAUUAAAGCAUCGCAGCCCUCAAAAAAAAAAAAAAAAAAAAAAAACCCUAAAGCAUCAUUGGUGUUGUUAAACAAUGAGUAUACAUCAAGCAAUCUAUUAAUUGGUGGAGGACGAGUUGAGCAAGUCGCGUUAUAAUUUGUUAAGGGGGAAAUUGUAAGAUUAGACAUAAUUAUUUAUUAACUUAAAAAGUUUUGUUGUCCAUAAGUUACUUUAUACAUUAUUUUUGUCCUAAACACUUCUUUUUUUAAGCUUCACUUCUUUUUUUUUUUUUUAAGAAUAACAAAUCAUAUUCACAUUAUUGAAUCCAUUUCCUCCUCUUUGUUUUGUUUUUGUUUUUGUUUUUCCCCUUCUCCUACUUCUUUCAUUCAUUUUCAUUGCUAAACCUGGAUCAUUGAUUCCAUCUUGUCCACUUACAUUAUGUCAUAAACUCCAAAGAUUUAUGUCAAAAGACAGUGGACUAAGUAUCUUUUGUCCAUUCACAUUUUCAGGUCUACUUUACUUAAGAAACAUUAACAGAGGAAAAUAACAUUGACAAAUUUGUUGUAAUCAUAAAAAAUUCCCCGUGUACACCAUUAUCAUCACUAAUUGAGGUCAUCAUGGUAACCUUGGAAGAUUUUGGUAUUUAUUUCUGUCACGCCAAAGCCACGAGUUUGUGCUGUAUUACUUUCCUUUCCUUUCUUCUUCUAGAAGACUUGCUUCUUCUACUUUCUCUUAUUGGUUUAAUAAGCAGUGCAAGGGAGACUUUUCGCUGUCAAAGAUAUGCAACGAUCUAAGUGUAGUGAUAAUGAUAUGCAUGUCGAAUUUGCUAUUAAAAUAGAAUUUCAAAGAGUCUUUAAUGGUUGUCCAUCGGCCACUCAUUAUGUAUUUCAAGUGUUAAAUUUUUGAAUAGUUAAAAUUAAUUAAGAAAAGUGUAUAAAUGUGAUAACAAUUAUUUGUGUAUUUAUAUAUGUGAUAGGUUAGAUGAAAUUUAAACGUAUUAAUGAGAGCUUAUUAGGUAACUUCACGACCCUAAAACUUGAUGACUAAUUUUUGGAAGUUGGUCAUUAACCGUUUGUAAGUUAUUACUUAUGAUUCAAAUUCACUUGAUUUUAUUUGGUAAUAUUGUUUUUUUUUUUUUUAAGUGGCAGAUCUUGAAUUCAGAAUAUCUAACUAACAAUUCUUCCUACCUUAUCGCUCAAUCCAACCCUCCCUGGUAAAUAUUGCGUCAAAAUAAAGCUAGCUUUCAUUUUUUGUAUUUGUUUGAUAAUAAGAGAUUUGCGAUUCCCAAUUGUUAUAAAACUACCAAAUUACAUACAUAUUUUCUUGCCAAGCUACAGCUCAUUGAUACUCAUUAUCAUUGCUAAAACUGCCCUAUAUAGCUGUCUGUGACCAACGUUAAUGUCUCACUCAUCACUAUCUUGUGAAUGGUUGGUGAGGUUUGCUCAAGCUGGAAACUUUUCAACAAAUGCAUUAAUUCUCCAUGAAAAGGACUACACGUUUUGUAACGGGCAAAAUAGUUAUUAGAGAUAGAAACAUUGCCCCACAAAAUUCCGACACAAGUACCACGAAAAGAAAAAGGAACAAAAAAAAGUAAAAAGAAACCACAAAAAGAAAGAAAGAAAGAAAGAAAAGGUAAAAAAGCAAAAAAGAAAAGAAUCAAAGAAAGAAAAAGGAAAGAUCCCGGAAUUAAUAGUGCAUCACAAAAACGUUGUACUCAACGACAGCAUCACCGGACUUGGGAUCGAAGAAGUAAGUUGUUGCCUGAGCAUAACCUCUACUAAAUCGGAAAUCCCCACUACCACCGAUCACCGGCAUCUCCCUGACCUUGUUGAACACCGGAUUCCUCCCUAGCACGGUGAUGGUGCUUCCAUUGUACUUACCUUCGGUAAAUGCAAAGUUCAUGGUCAUUAAUAGACCAACCUCUUCUUGUGAUGCUGAUGCAUAAAAUCCCUGAGCUCUUCCGACAACUUUAGUGCUGAGAUUCGGGCCGAGAGUCAACGGAUUAUCGAUCAUGUUAACAGCACCAAAGCCAGUGAAGGAAGCGGUUUUCGGAGGUGGCACCACCAUGACUGAAGUAGGUGCUUUGCCACUGAGGAUGUCGUGCCAGUAGAACCUGAAAUGGCUUAGCUUUUCUUGCUUCAUCUUCAGUGCUGUGGGAUUAAUUGCUUUGACGAACUGGAAUUCUUCAUCACCAUAGGUGACCUGAAUGGUGAUGAUGGAAAAGAAGAUGAAGAUGGUAAGGAGAUGGAGGGCUGAAAUUCUAGCCAUGGAAUGGAAGGCAACGAAUUUCUUUUAGGAAAUUUGCUAAGGGUCCUUGAUUAUAUAUAUGCGUAUUGUGAGGGGAAUGACCAGAUACGAACAACUUUUGGAAGUAAUUCUUUUUGACAAUGUGCAAAGUAUUGCACGAGUUGUGCAAGCUCACAAAUAAUUUGUUGCAACAAAUAUAUUUAUGCUAGCAUACUAAAUUAGGACUUAAAAAUAGAAAUUUUCAUAUUGUAUUAUUUAGUAGUGCUUCAGACAAAUUAAAGUUUUAAUAUUACAUUAUUUAAUAGUGCUUUAGGCAAGUUAGGAUUUUUGUAACUCUAUUGGAAUCAAAUUAUAAUAGUUUUAUUAUUUAAAACUAGUAUUUUAUUAGAAAAUUUUUUAUGAUUAUAAAAUUUGUUUAUCAGAUCGUCCAGUUUAUAAUAAAAAAAUAGGGAGUCUUGUUGGUGUCAUCAGUUGACAAGAGUGGAUUUGAUAGCUUUGUUAUUAUGGCAUUUGAUAUAUUAUUAUUGGUACUAUUUUUCUUCUUUCACAUAUAUUUUUAUGUGUGUAAAUUGCCUCCCUUUAUACAUUAAGAUCAAAAUACCAAUUAAGAUCAAAAUUUCAUGAAUUAGAGGUCCUGCAAUGAAAUUGAAUCUUACUAAAUGUGAGCUCAUUUUAACUUAAUUGUUGGUUUUCGUCCUACUAUAUAUGAGUCAUUAAUUGUACUCUAGUUAAUGAUCAUUCAUCUAUAUUGAUCCUAGUAUUGGGUUUACCAGUACAUAUCUCUAGGUUUCUUUUAGUACUAUUUUCUACAUAUCUGUAAAUGACAACAAAUAACCAUGUGUCCACGUACUUAUAUGAGAUUGUGCACAAUGACGGAGCCAAUUAGGGGGCUGAGGGGGGCAUGGCCCCUCUAAGUUUUGAAAAUUUUAAUUUAUAGUAUGUAAAUAUAUGUAUAAGAUAAAGUUGGCCCCCUCAUUUUUUACAAUUUUAGUUUAUAUUAUGAGAGUUUAUAUAUAUGUGUGUGUCUGUGUCUGUGUGUCUGUGUGCGAAUUAGCCACCUUUGAUGUAAUUUUUUCUUCAAAAAAAAGUUAUUUAUUUUUUAUUGUGCUAAUUAUUUAACAUUCAAAAAAUUAAACAUAUAAUUUGAUGAUCCAUAGUAAAUUGACCCAAUUUGAUAUAUUAUAAUAAAGACUCAAUUCAUAAUUAUGAAUGGGCUAAAAUAAAAAUAAUUACAUUAUUGAUCCAUGUACAAAUAUACAACUUAGCCUAAUUGAUAAAAAAAUUUAAAAUUAGUGAUCUAUCCUCUUGUUGACCCAUAUACAAAUAUACAAAUAAUUACUUGAAGACUUGGUAAAGACAAGAAUUGAGUGAUCUAUCCUGUUGUUGACAGAUUGAUUAUAUUUCUUUUCACUCUUCAUGUAUCAAUACAACUAUAGAACGGGCAUUUUCAAUUAUAAAUAUAAUCAAAACAAAGCUCCAAAACAAGAUAAAAGACAAUUUCUGAAUGAUUGUCUAACAAUAUACAUAAAAAAAGGGAAGUUGUUCAAAAAUUUAGCACUGGAUUUAAUUAUAAUGAAUUUAGUUCUAUGAAUAAUGUAAAGCUCAAUAUACUUUUAAGAAAAGAGGUUGAAAUUUCAAGGUAUGCUAAUAACUUUUAUCUUUUUUAAUUGAAAAUAGUUAUAUUUAUAUUGCAUAAUUAUAUUUUUGUUUUUGCAUAAGUGAUGUAUUGGAUCAUCUUCUCAUAAUGUACAAUUUGGAUAGUUUGUGAUGUUAUAAGACAUUUAAUCAAAGAUUAUUUCUUAUCUUAAUUUUAGUUAUGACUAUGCUACAUAUUUAUGAAAUAGACAUACGUUUAUAAUUAAAGUUAAUAUUUGAUAUUUUAAGAUGCCAUAUAUUUAAAUAAUGAAAAUUAUUUUAAACAUAUAUAUUAAAAUAAUUUUGUUCGAAAAAUUUUGGCCCCAAGGAAAAAAUCCUGGCUCCGUCAUUGAUUGUGCAGCUAUACGUAUGCAAAAGAACUUCGAGUGUGUGUUUGUAGUUUCAAAGGAAUCGUGUCAUUUUCCAGUUGACAUUGGAUCCCACUUAUGUUGUGGAAGUUGGGGAUGGAUUCUGCCUGUCCCACUUUGGAUUUUAUGGACAUUUAGUAAAUUUCUCUAUCCCAAUUCCCAAUUCUUUUGUAGUCUUCAUUAGAAAACUAAUUUGGCUUAAAUUAUUGAUAAAACUUUUCAUUACAAGCUCCUUUUGAGUUGAAGAUUUUCGCAGCAACAACAGAGGUGGAAAAACUUUCUAGUCGGUAGCGAGACUAGUAGGUCAACAAAGAUCAAUUCCCUCGUGGUAUAUUGCCCACAUACCUACUCUUGUUGACAAGUUCUUCCACAGCAUGCUAUUCCCCAUUCAAUUUCUCAAUGAGAAUGCGGAAAAAUUGAUCUUAAAGCAACGAAAAUGUAAACACUGUCAAAGUAGAAGUGUAUGAUGACUGAUCAUAACUAAGAGUAGAAGUCUUUUGCCUAUGCACGAAGUCUAUCAUGAAGGAUCUUUCUGUCAUAAAUUUCUUGGACCACCUACAAAUUCGACAAGUGCAUGAUGACAUGAUACAAUACAAGAGGAGUAGGCUUGUUUCCAUUUUCAGUUCUGAAGUAUGCAUUCAAGAAAGUUUUACUCCUUUUUUGUCUUUUAAAGGAAGGUUUUUAAUAAAGAAGGGACUGUGUUAUUGACAUUUUAGUGUUUUCAUUUAAUGUUAUUGCAUUAUAAUCACUGAACUUUGGCUGAGUGGUCACCAACUUUUGGGCUGUAAGUCAGAGGUUCGAAUUCCAUCUGCAGUGGAAAAAAAUUCAAAAGAGGUUACCGGAAUGUUAUCUGUAUACCUAUUAGCCCUUACUUAGUUUCUUUAGACUUCUCUUCCCUGUAAUAUAAGAUAGAUUAGGUUACAGGAAUGUUAUCGUUAUGAUAAAAAAAAAAGUUAUUGCAUUAUGGUUUUUUCCAUUUCGCAUAAAAUAUGCACAUUAAAAAAAGAGAGUAGAUCAACUAUUAAUAAACUUACGAUUAUCACUUACCUCUUGAAUUGUAAUAUUUUGCAUAAAAAGUUUAUCUUUUUGUCAAAAUAUAGCAGUGAAUCCACUUCUUAUUAGAGUACGAAAUAGACAAACUCUUUUGUUAUAUACAUCAGUUAUACCAUUGCAAAGCAAAAAAGAGAGAACCAUUGCAAAGCCAAAAAAAAAAGAAAAAAAAUAAAUGGUCUGAUUGCACAUUAUUAAGUCAUGGGUCGUAAUAUAUAUUCAUAUCCAUGUGAAUUUCUAUGACAAAACAACAUCUAAGCUGAUUUAUGAAUCAGCAACCUUUUGAGUGCAAUUUAUCAUUUAUGAUUCAUGUUCACAAAAUUUUCUUGAUUAACAUUCAUUUUGUAAUUUGUAGUUUGCAAAUUGUGAUACACAGUCUUGUUAUAGAUACUUUUAACAGCAACAGCAAUGAAUUGUCUAUCUCAUAUGAGGGAUUGGUAGAAACUACAAAAAUUACUCAUAGAACAGUAAACGAGUACAACAUUGAUUGGAUAUAUUAUGCCCCACAAAAUUUCUAGCAGAAAUACCAAGAGACAAAAAGAAAACAAAAGCAAAGGAAAAAGUCCGAUCUCUAAGGGAAAACAAUCCCACGAUCAUCAAUAAUGCAUAACAUAGAUGUUGUACUCAACAACAGCAUCACCAGUCUUGGGGUCAAAGUUGUGGGUUGAUGCCUGAGCAUAACCAUUAG
rnacentral:lncRNA from 1 species